GAACGGAAAGGCCAUGCUUUUGUGGGGUGCUCGAGUGGCGAACGGGUGAGUGACACGUGAGUAACCUGCCCUUGACUUUGGGAUAACUUCAGGAAACUGGGGCUAAUACCGGAUAGGAGCUCCUGCUGCAUGGUGGGGGUUGGAAAGUUUCGGCGGUUGGGGAUGGACUCGCGGCUUAUCAGCUUGUUGGUGGGGUAGUGGCUUACCAAGGCUUUGACGGGUAGCCGGCCUGAGAGGGUGACCGGCCACAUUGGGACUGAGAUACGGCCCAGACUCCUACGGGAGGCAGCAGUGGGGAAUAUUGCACAAUGGGCGGAAGCCUGAUGCAGCAACGCCGCGUGCGGGAUGACGGCCUUCGGGUUGUAAACCGCUUUCGCCUGUGACGAAGCGUGAGUGACGGUAAUGGGUAAAGAAGCACCGGCUAACUACGUGCCAGCAGCCGCGGUA
rnacentral:rRNA from 1 species